UACGUAGGGUGCAAGCGUUGUCCGGAAUUAUUGGGCGUAAAGAGCUCGUAGGCGGUCUGUCGCGUCGGCUGUGAAAACCCGCAGCUCAACUCCGGGCCUGCAGUCGAUACGGGCAAACUGGAGUGUUGCAGGGGAGACUGGAAUUCCUGGUGUAGCGGUGAAAUGCGCAGAUAUCAGGAGGAACACCGGUGGCGAAGGCGGUGGUCUGGGCCGGCACUGACGCUGAGGAGCGAAAGCGUGGGGAGCAAACAGG
rnacentral:rRNA from 1 species